UUUGGAAAUGUGGUUGCAUCCAGAAGAAAGUGGUAUUGAUCAUUCACGGACUCUGAACCUUCUCCAAAGACUUCAUAUUGCAAUUGAUGUGGCUUCUGCACUGAAUUAUCUUCAUGACCAUUGUGAAGUGCCAAUCAUUCAUUGUGACUUAAAACCAAGUAAUAUUCUUCUUGAUAGUGGCAUGACAGCUCAUGUUGGUGAUUUUGGAUUAGCAAGGUUCCUUACCAAAACAACCAGCUGCUCUUCUCAAGGCCAAACUAGUUCCAUUGGGAUGAAGGGAACAAUUGGGUACAUGGCUCCUGAGUAUGGCAUAGGCAGUGAGGCAACCAUAUCAGGAGAUGUUUAUAGCUUUGGGGUAAUUUUACUGGAGAUGUUCACAGGGAAAAGACCAAUUGAAGAAAUGUUUACAGAUGGUCUAAAUCUCCACAAUUUUGUCAAAGCUAAGCUCCCAAGACGAGUCAUGCAAGUUGUGGAUCCAGUACUUCUCACAACAGGAGAACUAGGGACACCAACAAAUAUGGCAGAAAAUAUGGAUGACAAUGACAUUGAUGAUACUCAAAUAGAGAUCCAAGAACAUGAUUUCAGUGUUGAAAAUUUGGGAUCAAAGGGAGAGGAUGUGAAAAAAUGUGUGGUAUUAGUCCUUGAAGUAGGACUUGCAUGCUCAGUAGAAGUACCAGGAGAUCGAAUGAAUAUGAGGGAUGUCACAAGAAAAUUGAAUGUCAUCAUGGAAGCUAUUCUUCGGGCAAGGACUCAUAGAGGCAAGUGAAGCCAUGAAAAUAGUUUGAUGUAAUGUUUUUAGUUGUAAAGGAAUGGUUGUCCAUAUUUUUAGCAUUAUAUUUAGGAAGUUCGUCUUGUGUUUGGUGUGGUUUUGUUGAUUUGAAAAGGCACCCUUUGCCUAUAAAAAGGAGAGUGUGUUUGGUGGAAAUAAGCAUGAAGUGGCUGGAGUGUGCUGCCGUGUGAGUUUGAGAGAAAUUUUUUUUUUUUUAAAUGUGUAUGUGUGUUUUCUUUUUGUAUCCCUUGUUUCAAAGCAAUGAAUAGUUU
rnacentral:misc_RNA from 1 species